AAGUCGUAACAAGGUUUCCGUAGGUGAACCUGCGGAAGGAUCAUUAACACGUAUCCAACGUUAAACCCCCCGGUGAACAUUCAACUCAUGCUCUAGUCACCCAUGAGACCAGCAAUUCCUGGUAAAUCAUUGUUGAACAGCUUUUGAUUCAGGAACGUCUGUGGAGCGCGGAAAACGAGGCGAGGCAAGUGGUCUGGCAUCCCUCUGCUUGUUAGUGUCUGACAGUGUCACUAGCUCUGUAAGGGUGGCGCAGUAACGAUCGCUAGUGGCCGACACGGCCGGCGACCGGACCGCCGGGCUAUACGCUCCUUUAUCACCUUUGCAUGAAAACGGGCCUGCGCUUAAUUGUGCGGCCAUAACCGAACAACUGUUAACAAUGGAUAUCUUGGUUCUC
rnacentral:misc_RNA from 1 species